rnacentral:rRNA from 1 species
UGGGGAAUUUUGGACAAUGGGCGAAAGCCUGAUCCAGCAAUGCCGCGUGAGUGAAGAAGGCCUUCGGGUUGUAAAGCUCUUUUGUCAGGGGAGAAACGGUGAAAGCUAAUAUCUUUUGCUAAUGACGGUACCUGAAGAAUAAGCACCGGCUAACUCCGUGCCAGCAGCCGCGGUAAUACGUAGGGUGCAAGCGUUAAUCGGAAUUACUGGGCGUAAAGCGUGCGCAGGCGGUUUUGUAAGUCUGAUGUGAAAUCCCCGGGCUCAACCUGGGAAUUGCAUUGGAGACUGCGAAGCUAGAAUCUGGCAGAGGGAGGUAGAAUUCCGCGUGUAGCGGUGAGAUGCGUAGAUAUGCGGAGGAACACCAGUGGCGAAGGCGGCUCCCUGGAUAAAGAUUGACGCUGAUGCGCGAAAGCGUGGGGAGCAAACA